AGUGAGCGCUGGCGGUAGGCCUAACACAUGCAAGUCGAACGGCAGCACAGUAAGAGCUUGCUCUUACGGGUGGCGAGUGGCGGACGGGUGAGGAAUACAUCGGAAUCUACUUUUUCGUGGGGGAUAACGUAGGGAAACUUACGCUAAUACCGCAUACGACCUACCGGUGAAAGCAGGGGAUCUUCGGACCUUGCGCGAUUGAAUGAGCCGAUGUCGGAUUAGCUAGUUGGCGGGGUAAAGGCCCACCAAGGCGGCGAUCCGUAGCUGGUCUGAGAGAAUGGUAACCCACACGAGAAGUGGAACAGGGACCAGGCUCCUACGGGAGGGAGCAGUGGGGUAUGUGGGACAAUGGGGGCAAACCUGAUCCAACCAGACCGAGUGGGUGAAGGAGGCCUUCGGGUUGUAAAGCCGUUUUGUUGGUAAAGAAAAGCAGCAGGUUAAGACCCCGCGGUUCUGACGGUACCCAAAGAAUAAGCACCGGCUAACUUCGUG
rnacentral:rRNA from 1 species